rnacentral:tRNA from 1 species
AGGCGCGUAGCUCAGUUGGUUAGAGCACCACCUUGACAUGGUGGGUGUCGUUGGUUCGAAUCCAAUCGCGCCUACCA